UCAGCUGUUUGGACUCUCAUUCUGACGGCACCCAUUCACUGCAGAGGAUCCAUCGGUGAGCAUUUCUCCAAUUCAGUUGCAAUGAAGAAACUCACCUGAGGGGUAUGGGCCGUCCAGUAUCCACCAGGACACACCAGCAGUACCCGGUGGGGGGAUGACACUGAACAGCUUCUCUUGAUCACACGAGGUCGCUGAGGUAAAGUGAGGCAGAGGAAAGGAGUCAAAUAAUGCAAGAGACACAAUAUGAAUGAGUAAGUGUCAGUGUUCUCUGUGUUGAAGAGAAGACAAGCAUAUGUGUUUCCAUAUGAUGAAAGGAGACAGUGCCCAGAAAAAUAGUUCCCCAAAAAACCUUCUCCUUGAAACUUCCGUAAAUGUAGUACAUACAACCCACACUGCACAAAAGCUUGUGAGGAAGAGAAUGUUACAAGCUUGGUCUAAAAUAAUAAUAGUAAUAAAUCCAAUGUUUGACUAAUAUCUUGUGUACUACAAUGUCUUCAACUCUAUGAUUUCGGAAGGAUGCAUCCUUCACUGCAUGAUAUCCCAUGAUCCUGUGUGUCUGAUUCAGCUGGAUAAAAGAACA